CGGUAGAGUGCUUGCCUAUGAUAUGCAAGGACUCAGGUUGGAGCCCCAGUGCUGAAAGAAUCAGGAAAUUAAGUCAUGAAGUGGUGCCUGGGCAGAUAGAGGCCUUAGGAGGAAACUGCAUGUUUUGAGGGACAGAGCUGGGUCAGCAGAGUGUUUCCACACGAAUGAACUGACUUCUGCAUUGAGAACGUGAAUCAACAGAUCCCACAAGGCCAGGAACUCUUGCCUAUGGAGUGAUACCAUUCACGUCAGGCAGUAUCUAUUAACAAUCAAGACAAUCAAGACAAAUACCCCAUCGACAUGCUCAUAGCCCAAUCUGAUCUGGGCAGUCCUUCAGUUGAGACAUCCUAGUGUCCCUGUGAUGAGAUGGGAAGUGGAGGCACAAGAAUCCUUGGAAGCUCCUAGGUCGGCCAGUCUGACACACAGCCGGAAACAAGAGACCCUGUCUUAAACAUGGUGGAAGGUGGAACUUAUAGUCAUGCAAUUUUGUAAAAUUAAUGUACAGAACCUAACAAGGUAAAUUGCUUAUAUUUAUGUCUUUCAAGAACCUCCUUCCAGGGGAAUUCAAAGGAGGAUAUUGGAGCAGUGAACUCAGUUGCCCAGGACUACAUGGCUGUGUGUGAGUUCUGGGAUGCAAGGUCAACGAGCAAGGAGAACUGCCGCAAACACGCCUGCUCAGACUCCAGGCCGGUGUGCGUUGUGGACUGCCGUGCUUUUGGUUUUUACUGUUAUAGAAACACAGCAGUAUGCUUGAUUUUAAAAAUUGCCAUUUGAGUGACUGACUCAAGUGUCAUUAAAAAG
ensembl:lincRNA AU019990 expressed sequence AU019990